rnacentral:rRNA from 1 species
CGCCGCGGUUAUACGAGGGGCUCAAGUUGAUAGUCCCCGGCGUAAAGAGUGGUUAAAAAAUUUUAUACUAAAGCCGAACAUCUUCAAGGCUGUCAUACGCACCCGAAGAAAUGAAGUGCCCCCACGAAAGUGGCUUUAAACCUUUUGAACCCACGAAAGCUGGGAUA